UUUUUUUUUUUUUUUUUUUUCCUGACAGGGUUACUGGAAAUUGGAAAUCUUAUCUUUAUUUUUCUUGGCUGCUUCUUGGAUGGUUGAGGAAGGUGAAUGGCAACCCAGCUGACAUUCUAAGAAGAAAGGCUGUGCCUUUAAUGGAAAUGUUUUCAUCUACCUGUGUUAACAGACAGCACAAAAAAAUAUUAUUUAAAGGUACCUUUGAGGGAGAAAUAGAGUAAUUAAACAAAGAAUUUUGAGUAUAAGCUCAUUCAAGCAUUUUUCAUCUUGCUUUUGUUGCAUGAAAAGACUAAUUCAAUUAAAGAACACAUUCAUUCACUUAGUGAAUGUCCUCAUUCUUUAACAUGACUGUAUGCUGCUUUACUGAGAAUGACCAAGGCAAGGAUCUUUCUGUAUAUGGCUGAGAGAACAGAGUGGUGUAAAAGUAGAGGCUCUGGCACAAAAAUGCUCUUUUCGCUUCAAGAGCAGCAAGCCCACAGUCUCGCUGUCAAGACCUAAUGCAAAAGGAGAGCUUGCAUGGACAAGACAAAAGUUUGUAAAGUGAUUCUACUUUGGAGGGUGAAGAUGCCCAGAAGAAUGCUCUGACCCCCUACCAGCAAUCUUUUUUUUGAACUCUACUCUUCUGCUCAUAGGGACAGAAGCUGAUGUACUGGUAAAACUGGAAUUGUUAUUAGUGUACUAUAAUUCCAACUUUUUCUAGGAAAACAGUCUUUAAUUAAAUAAAAAACUAAAUCAGCCUACUCCUAUAUGCUUUUCUCAAGAGUAAAUAAAAUGAAUAAACUAGAGGCUUGGAAGAAAAACCUUCUUAUAAAGGCAUGAGAUCUGCAACUAUUUCUGAAACAAGUAGCAUCAUUUACCAUUAGAGAUAGAAAUCUGGAUUAAGUGGUUCAGGAGAAUGAUCUGGCCUGCUAAUUUCCUACAUUCUUAUGUUUUAUACACACUAGUUUUCUCCAACAGAAUGGCCCAAGCUGAAAGCUCAACUGUAUUCAAGGCUUCCAUGAGCUGCUGAGUAUUUGGGUGUGGAGGUUUGCUGUGAUCAUCUGUAGGGGCUUACCACCACCACACAUCUUCACAGAUCUUGGUUUCAAUCACAACUACAAGCAGAAGUUCCAAAAUAGCCCAAGAAAGGAAGUUCCCCAAGUUGUUUUUAAAUUCAGGAAGUAGAAGGAUGCUACUAAAGCCUCCAGAGCUAAUACAAAUGCUAGUCUCAUUCACAGGGUAUGCCAUUCUUACUGAAUGCUUCCGUAACUCAGACUUUCUGGGCUUCCCCAUCCUUGAAUAUAUUUUAAAGACAAUAUAAGGAGACUGUGUUUGGCUGUUCAGAAAACCACAGUCCCUGAGGAUCAGACUGCAAAAAAGAAGACUUCAGAUCAGGUGUUGCCUGGGAAUUUGCUCUGCAGACACCUCAAUGCAGUAAGCAUGGAGAAAGGGCAGGGUACAGACACCGUAUGGCUUAACAGACACCAUGUGGCUCAGGACUAUUACUGAUGUGAAUUAUAAAUGUAGUCUGCAAAUCUGCCUGGGCUGUCCCUAGUUUUUUUUCCCCAAGUAAAAAUGACAGAAUUGUGUAAGCACACAAACACUGUCUACCUGUGUAUAUGGAUGUCUGCAUUUAUUUGCAUUGAUCCUGUUAGUUUUUUCCUUAAACAGUGCACUUUUAUCAGGAAAAAAAGAUAAUACUCAGAGAGACUCUGGCCAGCCUCCUCAAAAUGAAGGUUUUCUUGUUUGGUUUGGCAUAAAUUUAGAAUACCAUCAGCUCAGAGCAGUGGCCAGGAGGUUGUCUGUUACAGUUGUUGUGUAUCCAGUGUUGUCUGAUAACCAUGGAAGACCUUCCUAAGGCUGGGACCACCGUCUGCACUUGCCAGCACAGAGUACACGGGCUGAUGGUGGUUGUUUCUUGAGAACCAGUUAGAGCUCCCUGACCUUCCUCCUUGCUCUGGGGGUUGGGGGUCUGGCUUCAACAUCUUCCAGGUUAGAAAAUAUUUGCAAUAGGUUAAGUUUCCUUCUCUGAGAAGAAGAUUUGUUUGUUUGAUUGCUUCUGCUCUGCCUCUGAUGAUGCCUCAUACUGCAAAGAAAAGGAGAAGCAUUGAGAAGUCUGUGAACUAGCUGACAGUGGUCCUGGGGAUCUAAGGAGGUCUGGAGAAGAAUGAAGCUACUUCAGGUCAUGUCUUUCUCACCUUGCCUUGCAAAACCCAUAUUCUCCAUCUGUCUUUUGUCCUGGAAGUGGGGAGGAUGACAGAGGUGCUGCAGUUCUAACAUUGCUAUCAAAUGAGGCUCUCAUCUGAUGGGACACUGAGGCACCUCAGGAACAUGGCCAGACACAGAAUGUGCCCCAGUGACUUGGACUGAUAAAUGACAUUCAGCAUAUUUAAAGUGCAAUCUAGAUGAGUGUCAGUGUUAUGCCACAGAAGAGUUAUUUGUGUUUAUGCUGAUGGAUACAGAUGUUUGUGUGUGUAUGUUUUUGAGUUUCUGAAGGUCCACAAAGGAAUUCAUCAGUGAAAGGUUGAAAUCCCCCAAGACAAAAAUGUAAAAAAAAAAUAGCUUGAAGUCACCCACAGGUGGUAUUGACAAAUAACUGUUUCCCAGGGGUCCAAGAGAAUUUUCGCCUUGGUUUGGGCUGACUGAAUGCUAGUUAGUGAGGCAUGAUUGUGACAACCAUUCUUCUCUGUGUUACCAAAUAAUCUGAAACCUUUCUCUGACUUUUUCAAGUAUAUUGUGGUUUGUAAUCACUAAGUCUGUCAGCUGCUGGGAGGAUGACAGGUGCAGUGGUCAUCUCAGCACUGGGGGAAGACCCAGUGGGGCAAUGAUGACCAGCAUGUCCCAGAAAACAGAAUUCUGGUCAUGGGAAAGAUCAGUUCAGCAAAUUUCUCAGGCAACAAAAUGCACCCAGUUGCUUUCAAAAGAAAAACACAAGUCAAGCUAUGUCACUUGACUGGCAACAAAGUCAAGAGCUUAUUAAAAGUAAGUUGAGUGUAUCUGAGUUGUAGAAACCUUUCAUGCUUGCAUCUGAGUUGUAGAAAACUGUCAUACUUGCACAACAAGCCACCGGGUGUUGAGGCAAGAGACUGACCAGCUGUCACGGAUCUUAUGAUGCUGUCUGUCAUGUGAACCAGGUUUGCAAAGAAAAUCUCUCUGAUGUGCCUUUGAGAUAGUUACUCUGCAGAUCAGCUGCCAUGGCCCUGGCAGAAGGCUUUCUAUGCCCCUCACUUUAUAUCAUUCCAUAUGCUUAAUCUUUUACUCUCAGGAGUCCUUAGCAGCCUUAAUGAGAGAAAUGGGCAAAAAACCCCAGUCUCAGCAAGGUGAACCUGGGCAAAAUCUUACAUUUCUGUACUCUCACCUUCCUGUACUCUCUUGUAGAUUGUUGCAAGGCUACAAGUUAUAACUGGUCAGAUUAAAGGGACUGUUUUGUCCCUGCUUCCUUGUUAGUUCAUUGCAUGGAAGCAGACCCCACUUGUAGUUUUAUCAGCCUCCCACAUGCAAACCUCUCAGAACCUGCCAGUUCCUCUCUGAGGAGGAGGAUGGUGUGAAGAAAUGUCACCAGUGAUUACUUUUUGAGUGCACAGUGGGAUGGAACAUCCUCUCACUGGCACCUGCUAUGAUGUAGCCUUCACAGGAGGCCCUUGCUGACAUGUGCAUCCCAUCUGCUGAUCUGCCUCUGCUCUCACUCCUUUUUUGCCUGCUUUCUUCUUGGUCUGAAGGCAUAAACGCAGCUCCUGUCCUGGGAGUGUUUCGCACCCUGUGCCCUGGGAAAAGCUGAGGAUCUGGACCAACUUAGGGCAUCUCCAAUGGCAUGGUAGGCUAAAGCAGCUAUUACAAAACCAUCAGGAGAAAUGAGACAUGGGAAUCCCAGGCUUCUUUUGUCAUAAGAGGCAUGAGAAUAGUAUGGGCUCAUGCUGCUGAAGGGAACCUAGGCAGGUAAAUGAGAUGCACUUCAGGGCACAAAAGAGCAGAGUGAGAGCUUCUGUUGGGAAGAAGAGUUUAAGAGCAAGGUACUACUGUUGAAUACUGAGAGCAGUAUGGCGUUACUUCCUAAUUUUCUUUGACAACAUUUGGUACUUUCUACCUUCCCAAAAGCUUAGUGGGCUUCAGGCCCCUUCCACAGAGAGCUGCAGUCAGCAGGGACAUUAAAGGUUUGUUACUAGCUGCUAUUCAAUUGAAGUAUAACCAUUCCUCGAGGUGUGGAGAGAAGUGUGAGUGUACAUGCACCCUUCCAUAGGAUAGCUGGUUAGUAGGAUUGAGGUUAGCCAGCAUUAAUGGGAUGACGCUCAGUGACCACUGGGGAGUCUGCAGUACAAAUCGGCCAUGAUGUGUGCAAGUGCCACUAUCCAUAAUCAGACAACACACUAGGAUGGCUUCUUGGUUUUCUCUACCCUUCUGUAAUUGUUGUGUAUUAUAUGGGAAGAUCCCAGCACCUCCUGAAUUUCUGCAAGAUCUUAAUGGGAUUUGUAUUCUACACUUUGCAGUUUAACAUUGUUCAUGAAAAAAAAUUAUACCUUCCUCAUUUUCCUGUGGUCAUGUGUAUCCUCUUUUUAAUGCAAGGUUUGUGGAGAAGGAAUGGUUCCUGUCUGUGCACGAGAUUAUUAGCAUGCCAAAGUCCUGUUAAAGUCAUGGUGAGGAUGUACCAAAGGGUAUCAGUGAUUCAGUGCCCACUUACAGUAAAGGGUAUUGCACUAAAGGAACAUCUCACUGUGGCCCCAUAAGUUAGUCCAAGGCAGAGUUCAUUCAGAACAGUUCCUCUAGGGACACAUGAAAUCUCUUCAUUCAUAAGAUUUUGUCUGGAACUAGAUCUUUGAAUCAUACUUAUUUUUUAGAGACGAGUCAUUGACUGAAAGCAUUAUUUAGAGCAAUUAAUCUCUUAAUCCUAGCAUUGCAAUGUUUUUGUGCCAUAUUUCUUUGACAACUCAAAUCAAAACCUAGAUGCUGAGCCACAUCCCUUUUCUCUCUGUGUCCCCAGACCUAGAAUUCCAAGCAAACACCUUGAUAUUAAAUCUAUCCUCUGUAUUAUCUGGUGCAGUCUAGGUCAUGGUUAUAUGUUUUACCAUCUAUUUUUUAUAGAGGUGAUUUGGGGACUGCACCAGGUAGACUCCCUGUACCUUUCACUGGUACUGAAAAUAAAAGGGAUCAAAUGGAAAGCACUGUCUAAAUGUAGGUUAGUUUUAUCUCAGCCAUGCUUAGUUCACAGUGGUCACAAAGAAGAGCAAACUGAAAGGAGUAAUACCUUAUGCUGCUGGAGCCUGCCUGACCUCCCCCUGACAUUAACCUCAUUCAAAAUUUGCCAAAGCAGUUAGAUUCUCAGCUCCCAUUUUAAUUCAGGAUGAGUGGGUGAUUAAAAAGGCAAUAGGUCCCCUAAGUAUCUUUGAGGAUCUGAUCCUUGGCUGCGCUUCCUAACCAGAGUCCCCAGUGGUAACUCCCCAGCACAAGGAUACCCAUAGCUGCCAAGCCUGCUCCAGCCUGCUCUCACUGAGAUGGUGCAGAAGUUGUGGCAAAGGAGACAAAAUCCCACCAGUGGGCACAUGCUGUUUCCAUACCCUCUUCUCUUCCAAGGAACAGGGACUACCAUGAUACCCAUACUAUACAAAGCAGAACCCUCAUACAUGUGUAUCAUCAUUGUGAAACCCCCAUUCUGUGGUUCCUAAUGGAAAUCCCCCAUUUUGAGAACAGAAAUAUUACUAAAAGUGAUAGACUAUUUCAUGACAGCAGGCUUUUAUAAGUGCUCUCUCAUACAGCCAUAAUCCAAAAACAGAGCUCUGGUAUUUUUUCCCAUUUUCUGUGGAAACUUAUCCCUGUUUAAGUUUGAACACCACCUAAACAGAAUAGUGGUAUUUUAUACCUGGAAUGCCUGGAGAGUCAGGCUGUAGGAAUGGGGCCCUAUUUGGUGAUACC
ensembl:lncRNA